GACGAACGCUGGCGGCGUGCUUAACACAUGCAAGUCGAACGGACAGGCCCUGCUUUUGUGGGGUGCUCGAGUGGCGAACGGGUGAGUAAAACGUGAGUAAACUGCCCCUGUCUUUGGGAUAACUUCAGGAAACUGGGGCUCAUACCGGAUAGGAGCUCCUGCUGCAUGGUGGGGGUUGGAAAGAUUCGGCGGUUGGGGAUGGACUCGCGGCAUAUCAGCUUGUUGGUGGGGUAGUGGCUUACCAAGGCUUUGACGGGUAGCCGGCCUGAGAGGGUGACCAGGGACAAUGGUACUAAGAUACGGCCCAGACGCCUACGGGAGGCAGCAGGGGGGAAUAUGGCGCAAUGGGCGGAAGCCUGAGGCGGCAGCGCCGCGUGCGUGAUGACGGCCUACGGGUGGUAAACCGCUGUCGCAUGUAACGAAGCGUGAGUGACGGUAAUGGGUAAGGAAGCACCGGCUAACUACGUG
rnacentral:rRNA from 1 species